rnacentral:rRNA from 1 species
AAAAAAGGAGGUAGGCGGUGAUCUUAGGCAAAUCCGGGAUCACUUACGCCGAGCACCGAGACGAGUCCUAUGAGGACGAAGUGACUGACACCACGCUUCCAGGAAAAGCCACUAAGCUUCAGCUUAAGAAAAACCGUACCGCAAACCGACACAGGUAGGCAGGGUGAGAAUCCCAAGGCGCUUGAGAGAACUCGGGUGAAGGAACUAGGCAAAAUGGCACCGUAACUUCGGGAGAAGGUGCGCCCUUUGGUGUGGUCACGUGCGUGACUGAGCAUCGAAGGGUCGCAGUAACCUGGCCGCUGCGACUGUUUAUCAAAAACACAGCACUCUGCAAACACGAAAGUGGACGUAUAGGGUGUGACGCCUGCCCGGUGCUGGAAGGUUAAUUGAUGGGGUCAGCCGCAAGGCGAAGCUCUUGAUCGAAGCCCCAGUAAACGGCGGCCGUAACAAUAACGGUCCUAAGGUAGCGAAAUUCCUUGUCGGGUAAGUUCCGACCUGCACGAAUGGCGUAACGACAGCGGCGCUGUCUCCACCCGAGACUCAGUGAAAUUGAAAUCGCUGUGAAGAUGCAGCGUUCCCGCGGCAAGACGGAAAGACCCCGUGAACCUUUACUAUAGCUUUACACUGAACGUUGAGUUCUUCUGUGUAGGAUAGGUGGGAGGCUAUGAAACCAGGACGCUAGUUCUGGUGGAGCCAUCUUUGAAAUACCACCCUGAAGUGCUUGACGUUCUAACCUAGGCCCGUAAUCCGGGUCAGGGACCGUGUAUGGUGGGUAGUUUGACUGGGGCGGUCUCCUCCCAAAGAGUAACGGAGGAGCACGAAGGUACGCUCAGCGCGGUCGGACAUCGCGCACUGUGUGCAAAGGCAUAAGCGUGCUUGACUGCGAGAUCGACGGAUCAAGCAGGUACGAAAGUAGGUCUUAGUGAUCCGGUGGUUCUGUAUGGAAGGGCCAUCGCUCAACGGAUAAAAGGUACUCCGGGGAUAACAGGCUGAUACCGCCCAAGAGUUCAUAUCGACGGCGGUGUUUGGCACCUCGAUGACGGCUCAUCACAUCCUGGGGCUGUAGCCGGUCCCAAGGGUAUGGCUGUUCGCCAUUUAAAGUGGUACGCGAGCUGGGUUCAGAACGUCGUGAGACAGUUCGGUCCCUAUCUGUCGUGGGCGUUGGAGAUUUGAGGGGGGCUGCUCCUAGUACGAGAGGACCGGAGUGGACGUUCCGCUGGUGUUCGGGUUGUCAUGCCCAUGGCAUUGCCCGGUAGCUACGAACGGAAGUGAUAACCGCUGAAAGCAUCUAAGCGGGAAGCACGCCCCAAGAUGAGAUCUCCCGAGAGCUUGACUCUCCUAAAGGCACCAUCAAGACUAGGUGGUUGAUAGGUCAGGUGUGGAAGCGCAGCAAUGCGUUGAGCUAACUGAUACUAAUGAGCCGUGAGGCUUGACCG